rnacentral:rRNA from 1 species
UAGGGAGUCUUCCACAAUGGACGAAAGUCUGAUGGAGCAACGCCGCGUGAGUGAAGAAGGGUUUCGGCUCGUAAAACUCUGUUGUUAAAGAAGAACAUAUCUGAGAGUAACUGUUCAGGUAUUGACGGUAUUUAACCAGAAAGCCACGGCUAACUACGUGCCAC